UGAACCAAGACCAGUAUGAAAACUGGUAUGUCAUUCUGUAGAGAAGAAAACAUCGCACUGCUAUGAACUUGUUCUUCCUUGUGUCAUAUUGACACACAGAUUGGAACUAAGAGAGUGAGAUCAGGGCAUCCUGCCAAUUUAUUUGAAGUAUCAAUGAGUGAGAUCAGGGAGCCUUGGCGCAGUGGUAAAGCUGCUGCCUUGUGACCAUGAGGUCACGGGUUCAAGUCCUGGAAACAGCCUCUUGCAGAAAUGUAGGGAAAGGCUGCGUACAAUAGACCCAAAGUGGUCGGACCCUUCCCCAGACCCUGCGCAAGCGGGAGCUACAUGCACUGGGGCUGCCCUUUUUUAUCAAUGAGUAGUAUUUCUGCACACUCUGUAUCUUUGUGUUCUGAAAUGGCCAUUGCAGUGUUCUCAAUGCAAUCCUCCAUCUGCCUUUCAUGAAAGAAUGUUCUCAUUUUGGCCAUGAAGAUGAUAUGAAGUCUCAAACUUCCCUGGGAGUAGUAUUUCUGUUUCUCACUAGUAAUUUGUUUCAGUUUUCGUUUAUUUGUCUCUUGUAGUUUUGGAUGGCCUUCUGGGUGAUACUUUUCUAGGGAAUCUGAUCUCGAAACCGAAUAGUUGAGUAGUAGGCUAGUAUCAUUUUUGUUGAAAGCCUAUUUGUAUAUCACUAUGUAAACAGAAAAUUCUAAUGCCCUGGUCAUUGUACUGGAGAAGCAAAUGGUAACCUUAAAAAGGGUUAUGGCAUUACCAUGUAAAUUUCUGCUAUAUCUUUUAGCUAAUUUUGUCAUUCCAUAAUCGCACUAUCUAUAUUGAUCGCGAGGGCAUAUUUAUCCCUUAGCAUAUUUGUUUAGGGUAGUAUAGUGGGUCUUAUGUACGUCAUUUUUGCAAAUUUCUAUCUGGAAAGUCAGAAUAGGAAAAGGAAAAAAGCCGGAUGGGAUUCCAUGUAGUCUGGAAUCUUGCAGAAUUUCAAAUAUAGGAAUUACUAUGUGCCUCAGUCUACGAACCAACCUGUGAGGAUGGUGC
rnacentral:lncRNA from 1 species